UAAAAACAAUGAAUUAAAAAAACAAUAGUGCAUUGAACAUUUUCUAAAUAGAAGCUGAGACAAAAUCAAUAAAGUUUCAGGUGAAGACCUGUUUUUCUCUAUUAAGUGUUUAGGCUUUUUCGGUGUGUUUUGUUAGGUUAGUCUAUUUGGAGCACAAGGAUAUAAAAGAGUCGGAAAAUUAACAAGCACCAAAAAACAGAUUAUUAUUCCAAAAUAAUCCAACCAUUUUUCAGUGAACUGAAAAGCAAUACUAGAAUACAACACCAGAAUAUUGAGUCAUCCAUCUCCUUGUUGAUGAGGUCCGAAAGGGCAUAAACAUGACAGAUAGCCGACAUGUUUUGAAUCAGUUUCCCUUGGCUCUGCUGAUGCUAUGAAGAGUUCACCAGUGGAAGAAGAUUUAAAACAGAGGUCAGCACAUUUGUAUUAGUCCCACACGGUAUUUUAUGUCAUUGGGAUUAUUUUUCCCUCCGAGAACCGACUGUCAAAACAACUGAAAUUCAAGUGAGUUAAGAAAUAUAUUUUUUCCAACCUUAUUUUUUCAGGGGAGUUGAGAAUAAGUUCUUAUUUACAGUAAUGACCUGAGGGGGCUAAUUAAAAUGAAGUGAGCCAGAAAUCACUGGCAAACUGUUGUUUCUCCUUCUGUUACGGGUUGCUUCCCCUCCGCCCUGAGUCAGGUGGUUCGGUCCCUGUUUGUUUUUUCACCUGAAAUGCUGGGGGUGUGUUCAGUAGGGCAAGGGGCGUGGCAGAGUCUUCACUGCAGAGCCAUUCUUCGCAGCUGCACCUCAUCCACAUGAUUCACUCCAGCAAUAUUUAAACCCGGGCUGAUCACCUCUUCGGCGCCAGUUCGUUAUCUACUACUCAUGUGACCUGCUGCUUCCUCUGCUGAGCCUACUAGCUCCUGGCCUCACCACCCAGCCUUCGCCGUCAGCUCUCCCCCAGCUUCGGACCUGCCUACACAGUAUUCUCGGAGUACCCCGGCUCUCCAUUAAAACCCUUUUUUUGAACCUACCUUACGUGGUCGGUGUGAUUUCUCUGCGCUCUGGGUCAGACGUACUCUAACACCUUCAUGUAAUGGGAGUGAACUAUGUGGGUGAUACUCAGCC
ensembl:lncRNA